rnacentral:lncRNA from 1 species
UACGCCAGAGCCACAGCAACGCAGGAUCCGAGCCGAGUCUGCGACCUACACCACAGCUCACGGCAACGCCGGAUCGUUAACCCACUGAGCAAGGGCAGGGACCGAACCCGCAACCUCAUGGUUCCUAGUCGGAUUCGUUAACCACUGCACCACGAUGGGAACUCCCUAGCAGAGCCGAGAUUCGAAUGCAGGAAUUGUGACUCCAGGUUCUGAGUUUGUAACCACUACCCAGACAGCUUCAACAUCCAUCCAGAUACUGUACUCCAGGAAAGCCUACGGAGUAUGACAAAUUCUACAUAAUUCAUUCCCAUGCAUCUGCUAGUAUUUCUCAUACUCUAUGAAUAUGAUCCAAAAUUCAAAAUACUAUAGUCAGGAUGAUAUAGAAAAGAGAUACCUAAUCAAAGUGAGGAGAGCAAAGAUCCACAAGCAGAAUGGCAACUACGAACUGUGUGUCGGGAUGUUGCUCAAAUUCUCCUGGGCCUGACUUCACUCAACCUAGUUGACCACCAACGUGCUCGAGGUCCUAAAAUUCCAUCUCAACGUAAAAACAAAACAUACAUUCUGGGAAGCCCCUCACUUCCUCCAUUGCCAGUGUAUCUUCUUCCUCUGAUGAGCCAUUUGCUACCCAUUCCUCUAGGCACUGGUCAAAAUCUCUCUCCCCUCGACCAACUGGUCUCUUUUGUUCAUUUUACACUUUGUUAAUGCUGAUUUUCCCUGGAUGGUUUGGCACUUACCAAGGUAAUACACAGCUCGAUUUCUUCCUUCAAACCCUUUUAAGAAAGGAACAGAGUAUAAAUUUUUAAAAUGCGAGAAUGCUUCAUGCUAAGGACCCUGUGAGCUAUGUGACGAGCUGACCAGCAGGCUUUUGGGACAAGGGACUCCUUGAGAUCCUGCUGCAGGUGGCAGGCCGCUGCAUACAUCAUAGGCCACACAGAGCAGCAGGACAGCACCCUCCCUCAGGGAGAGUCUGUGUUUCCUAGCUCCCUUGGUGCACAAACUUACUUGCCUUUGCAAAUAUGUAAACGUGUUGAGCUUCAAUAUGCGAACUUGAAAUGAGACCUGCAGUCAUGAUAUUUCCUAGGUAUUUCUGCCAAAGUCAACAUUUUUCUUUGGAUCUUGAUUCUCUGAUUCUUCAGUCUUGCUUUCUUUGUAUUUUGUUUUGAUCCUAUCUUCAUUUCCGUUGUUCUUCCUGAACAUUUAAAAUGUAUGCCUUCCUUCUCAUAAAACAGUCAAGAAAUCCCAAGGUGUGCCUAAGAGUAGGGGCUGGCUGUGGGGUAAGAGAAGCAUUGUAAGAUGGGUACGCAGUGCCAGCAUCCAAAAUUCAAUGCCAUUACUUUCUUUCUUUCAUCAGUGUGUAAGGAGGGCUCAAAUUUCCAACUACCAAACAGAAUUUCUUUUAACCAGCUUCUGUAGUUUUUACAUCAAUUACAGAUAUUGCGGUAGUCAUAGCACAUUAAAAACAAUAAAACACUAACAUAGCAUUUACUCUCACCAGCUAUCCCUCUUAGCAUUUUAUUGGCAUUAAUCAUAUAAUCUUCACAAUAAAAAAGGCUUCCAUGAUGUAAGUACUUUUUUUUUUUGCUUUUUAGGGCCAUACCCAUGGCAUAUGCAAGUUCCCAGGCGAGGGGUUGAAUCGGAGUCACAGCUGCCAGCCUACACCACAGCCAAAGCCACGUGAGAUCCAAGCCACAUCUGACACCUACACCACAGUUCACAGC